GUCUUUUUGAUGUUAAUUUAAAGUCUGACCUGCCCACUGAAAUUUAAAUGGCCGUGGUAUAUUGACCGUGCUAAGGUAGCAUAAUCAUUAGUUUUUUAAUUGGAAUCUGGAAUGAAAGGUUGAAUAAGAAAAAAACUGUCUCUAUUUAAUUGUUUUAGAAAUUUAUAUUUAAGUUAAAAAGCUUAAAUAUAUUUAAAAGACGAGAAGACCCUAUAGAGUUUAAUUAGGAAUUAAAAUUAUUUAUUUGAGAAUUAUUAUAAGUAAUUUACUAUUAAUUUAAUUGGGGUGAUUAAAAAAUUUAAAAAACUUUUUUUAUUAAAACCUUUAAUUAGAGAGUAGGUGAUCCAAAAGUGUUGAUUAUAAGAUAAAAUUACCUUAGGGAUAACAGCGUAAUUUUUUUAAAGAGUUCAUAUUAAAAAAAAAGAUUGCGACCUCGAUGUUGGAUUAAAAUUAAAUUUUGGUGUAGGAGCUAAAAUAUUAAGUCUGUUCGACUUUUAAAAUUUUACA
rnacentral:rRNA from 1 species